GAUGAUUGGAACCGUUCAAUGGCAGGUCCCACCAUGGCCAAGUAUGAUAUGCAAGAGUCGUUACUACCCAUUUGAUGUAUUGAUUGAUAAAAGCGUAGAAUGUUUAAAUGUUAUGAUGAAUAGGUAAUAAUGACGAUGAAUUCUCUUACUGAGGUUCAUCGAUCCAAACGGACCCAAAGUUUAGAAAAGACCCAUCACAACAACAGUGCCUUUCGCUACAAUCUUCGCAGGGGCAAAGAGAAUCACGAAGAAAAAGAUGGAUAAAACUAAGAGAGAGAGAGAAAGAG